GAUGAACGCUGGCGGCGUGCCUAACACAUGCAAGUCGAGCGAACGGACGAGAAGCUUGCUUUUUUGAUGUUAGCGGCGGACGGGUGAGUAACACGUGUAUAAUCUCCUUAUAAGACGGGGAUAAUCUCGGGACACCGGAGCUAAUACCGGAUAAUCUUUUGAACCGUAUGGUUCAAAAGAGAAUGACGGCCUUGGUGUCUCUUAUCGCUGGAUACGGGCUGCAUUAGCUAGUUGUUAAGGUAACGGCUUACCAAGGCAACGAUGCAUAGCCGACCUGUGAGGGGGAUCGGCCACACGGGAACUGAGACACGGUCCAGACUCCUACGGGAGGCAGCAGUAGGGAAUCUUCCGCAAUGGGCGAAAGCCUGACGGAGCAACGCCGCGUGAGUGAUGAAGGUCUUCGGAUCGUAAAACUCUGUUAUUAGGGAAGAACAUAUGUGUAAGUAACUGUGCAGAUCGUGACGGUACCUAAUCAGAAAGCCACGGCUAACUACGUG
rnacentral:rRNA from 1 species